GGACAUUACAGGGUGCGCAGAGCUGAGGGCCGUGCAGGGAAGGGGCAGAGCAGUUCUAGCUGGACGAAAGCUUAGGUCUUGGUCAGGGAAAUGAGGUGCUCCCAUGGAUUGUCCAGGAGUUACCCUGUCCUGGGGCUUUGGUGAUGGUCCUCCUCACCUCAACAGUGAUGGACAAGGGCUCCUUUUGCUUUGAAGUGAUGCCCACGUGCUUACUGCACAAGGAGGGCAGGGAAGAGCCAGGAAGGGAGGAACCGCCACGCCAGCGGGGACAACGUGACGACACGGAACAAAGGGACAUGCCGUUGGAAUCCUAGGAAGAAGUUUCUUAAGUGACAUCUAAAUAGGCUGCAAAUGGCCUUUUCGAGGGAACUCCCAUCCCUGUGAUAAUCUAAACCAGAAUCGGAUGAGAUGGGGUGGACCGCAUCUCGGGAGGAGCACAUGGGUGUGAGGGAGGAGGGACGUGGCAACCUCAUGCUCCCUUCUCUCUGUAAUCACUCUGUCAACCCACGAUUCUGGGAGGGGAGUAUGAAAUGUGUGGUUUGUCUAUUGCAUGAAGAUAUUUGGAUCCCCCAAAUCUAGGUGUGUCUGGAAGAAAGCUGCCCUCUCCCAGAGGAAAGCUGGGGGUUAAAUCCAUAACUGUCAGUGUGUCUGGCAACAAAAUAAAAGGAAACCACAUUCUCCAUGAAUGAAGGGAGAAGCAGGAAGGAGGUAGUUUUUUCUUUUUUAAAAACAUGAAUAAGAUCCUCCAAUAUGUUUGAGAUUAUUGAGCAAAUU
rnacentral:lncRNA from 1 species